rnacentral:ncRNA from 1 species
CCUUGGGGCGGGGUGAAAUUCCCCACCGGCGGUACAGCCCGCCAGCUUUCCGCAGCGGAACAGCUGAUUCGGUGUGAUUCCGAAGCCGACGGUAAAAGUCCGGAUGAAAAAGG